GUCUACUUGGGGACAUCUGAUCAAUUUAGGACAAUACAGAAAAGAUUAGUAUGAUCUUUUUGAAAGGAUGACAUAAAUCUAGAAAUGAUACCAAGAUGU
rnacentral:snRNA from 1 species